GCCCUUAUGUGAAAUUGUAUUAAAUUGCUUUGAUGCUAAUGCAUGACAUUUGAUACUUGACAACCUUGGAUAUUUACUGAGAUAAAAGAACAUAGGGACUGGGAUAUCACAUCUGGUGAGAGAUUGAGUAUUCUAAAAGAUUUUAUGCGUUUCGGUCUCGAACACUCGGGCUCUGACACCAAAGGUGAGUCCUCUCAUCUCUGAGAGUAUGUAGAAAUCGUGACAUUUUCUUUGUCAUUUUUUCAUGGGGAGGGUGUGAUUAUUGAAAACUCAUGUUGGGUGUGAUAUUGUACAACAAGGAAGAAGCUUUUCACUAGUUGAAGACAGAAGGUCUAGCCUGUCUCACCGUGAUGUAGAAUUGGUGUUUAAUGGGGCAUUACCAAGCUUUGAAUAAAAACUAAUUUUGCUUUCUUGGCAAGGACUCUCGGAGGGAAGGAGCUUCAUGUUGUGAACAUUGUUAUUUUCAAUACAUAACUUUUUGUUGGUUAGCUGACAUUUUUUGAUAAAGAAAUAGUCUAAUGUUGUUUAUGAUGCAUGAGUUACUUUUAGUGGAGCUGAUCCGUUAAGAGUAUUUGUGAAGGCUUUGGAGUUGGCAAUCUGAGCAGCCUGUAUGAUAAAUGGAAGUGUGUGCGUUCAUCCAAAGCAUUCACAGAACAAAUCUUCAUUUUGGCUACUGCAGAGUGCAGAGAACGAAAUCUUUUACCUGAUUAAUUGGAGGUUUGCUACAUGCUACAUAUGUCUUAUUAACUGGCAGUUAGUCAGCUUCUAUUCCAGUGCUGAGAAAUGGCACAAUUAUCUCAUGCCAUUUCAUGGGAGCAGCAGAAGUGGCAUAGAUGCAAUGGUGUGAAGCAAAAAACUAUUCAGUUCCAUAAAUAUGCACUUCCCAAGUUCCUUAUGCAAAUGAAAUGGCACACUUUUUCUUAUGCCCUCAUAUAGUGUGAAAAUUGAAGAUUAAAGAGUGAACGAUAGCAUGAUAUAACUCAAGUUCAUUGUAGUUGUAAAAAAUUCGUACGGGAGCAAGUAUUGCGAUCACAAUUACAGACAAGAUUCCUAAGUGCUUGACAAUGUGAGUGCUCGAGACCUAUGACUUCGAAUAAAUUUGACCUAUGGGUGACAUGAACAUCUGCGGUAAGAACGACAAUGUGAUGCUCAUGGAAGUUGAGGUCAAGGAAGUGAAUACACCGAUGAUGCAUCAAUAGAUGUAUAAAUUGUGCUUGCAUGAGCAUAUUGUGGUAACAACGGGGAGGUGAUCAAGAGCAUCAACAACCUCUUUACCGGGAUCUUUCUCGCCGCAACUAAAAACAACAGUUAUUACCAGCUUGUGGGGUAGCUCCUGGGGCGUUGGAACCUUGUUGAGAAGAAGAACAAACUGUUAAUGGAGUUGUUCAACGAGGACGAGAGGAGCGGCCACAGCAAGGAUCAAAAGAAGGCAGAGUUCGACUCCACUAGCUGCCAACUCCGACGGGGGGAGGAGAAGAAAAAAAGGAUUGAUUUAAUGGUGAAAGAAACUUGAAAGCUUGUAUUAACUAUUAAAUUAUAUGUGCCCCCGUUGCAACACACGUUAGAUUAGUACACUGUCAUAUUUUCAGAAAAUUGCAGAACUAGCGAUACACCUGUCUCACAAAUAUUACGCCGAUUGUUCAGUAC